CGGUGACCCAGGAGGAGCGAAGGUGUCACCGGGCCUGCCUCUCUUCCACCGAAUGACCAGUCUCUUCCCUGAGGCCUCCCGAUCCCUCUCCGCGCUUUCAACCUAAGAAGACUCCGAGAUCCCGCAGCUUCCCUGGGUCACUCCCCGCACCCAUUAGGCCUCUCCAGACUACCUGCCAUGAACCAGAGGUUUGAAAGCAGCAGGGGAAACCGGAACAACAUAGCUGCAGAGGGUAUGCAGAGUAGGGGCAAUGAAUAGAGUGGUCGAUCAAGGAAAGUCUUAAGAGAGAUGAGGAAACCAAAACUCCCAGAGGGAACCUUGCCUAAGACAGCACAACCAGGGAGCCAUAGAGCUGAUGCCCAAAUCUUCUGAUCACGCAGGGACUGAGAACACUCUUCAUCACACCCCAAUUGCUUCUUUGGUUGCAACUCCUACCAUGUAGCAUCUUUUCCUUACAAAGUGACUGACACUCCCCUUCUCCUGGGAUAGAGCCUUCCUUGACUGUAAAGGAAUCAGUGACUUUUGUUCUCUUGUUCCCUGACCACAGCACCAUUUCUGCUCAUAGAGUAUUGUUUGGUGCCUUACUGAAUGUCUCACCUUGUGAGGGUGUUAGCCAGAUGGUCUUUUUUCCUUCUUCAUUUUCUUCUUUUUUUUGGCCAUGCCUUGCGGCUUGUGGGAUCUCUGUUCCCUAACCAGGGUUUGA